rnacentral:rRNA from 1 species
AGAUUGAACGCUGGCGGCAGGCCUAACACAUGCAAGUCGAGCGGUAGAGAGGUGCUUGCAUCUCUUGAGAGCGGCGGACGGGUGAGUAAUGCCUAGGAAUCUGCCUAGUGGUGGGGGAUAACGUUCGGAAACGGACGCUAAUACCGCAUACGUCCUACGGGAGAAAGCGGGGGACCUUCGGGCCUCGCGCCAUUAGAUGAGCCUAGGUCGGAUUAGCUAGUUGGUGAGGUAAUGGCUCACCAAGGCGACGAUCCGUAACUGGUCUGAGAGGAUGAUUAG